GGGGGGGAGGGGACGCACAGGGACCAAGGGACAACAGGGACACCAGUAUCACCAGUAUCACCAGUAUCACCAGUAUCACCAGUCCCAGUGUCACCAGUAUCACCAGUAUCACCAGUCCCAGUGUCCCCAGUGUCCCCAGUCCCAGUGUCCCAAGUCCCAGUAUCACCAGUGACACCAGUCCCAGUGUCACCAGUAUCACCAGUGUCCCCAAUCCCAGUAUCACCAGUGACACCAGUGUCCCCAGUCCCAGUGUCACCGGUGUCACCAGUGACACCAGUGACACCAGUCCCGGUGUCCCCAGUAUCCCCAGUGUCACCAGUGUCACCAGUGUCCCCAGUCCCAGUGUCCCCAGUCCACCCAGUCCCAGUCCCCCCAGUCCCAGUGUCCCCAGUGUCACCAGUAUCCCCAGUGUCCCCAGUCCCAGUGUCACCAGUGACACCAGUGACACCAGUGACACCAGUAUCACCAGUCCCAGUGUCCCCAGUCCCAGUGUCACCAGUGUCCCCAGUGUCCCCAGUGUCCCCAGUCCCAGUGUCCCCAGUCCCAGUGUCACCAGUGACACCAGUCCCAGUGUCCCCAGUCCCAGUGUCCCCAGUGUCCCCAGUGUCCCCAGUCCCAGUGUCACCAGUAUCACCAGUGUCCCCAGUGUCCCCAGUCCCAGUGUCACCAGUAACACCAGUGACACCAGUCCCAGUCCCCCCAGUCCCAGUGUCCCCAGUGUCCCCCAGUCCCAGUGUCCCCAGUAUCACCAGUCCCAGUGUCCCCAGUCCCAGUGUCCGCAGUCCCAGUAUCACCAGUGUCCCCAGUCCCAGUAUCCCCAGUCCCAGUAUCACCAGUGACACCAGUCCCAGUGUCCCCAGUGUCACCAGUAUCCCCAGUGUCCCCAGUGUCCCCAGUCCCAGUGUCACCAGUGUCCCCAGUCCCAGUAUCCCCAGUUCCAUCCCAGUAUCCCCAGUUCCAUCCCAGUUCCAUCCCAGUUCCCUCCCAGUUCCUUCCCAGUUCCGUCCCAGUUCCAUCCCAGUUCCCUCCCAGUAUCCCCAGUUCCAUCCCAGUUCCAUCCCAGUUCCCUCCCAGUAUCCCCAGUUCCAUCCCAGUUCCCUCCCAGUAUCCCCAGUUCUCUCCCAGUAUCCCCAGUUCCGUCCCAGUUCCAUCCCAGUUCCAUCCCAGUAUCCCCAGUUCCCUCCCAGUAUCCCCAGUUCCAUCCCAGUUUCACCAGUUCCAUCCCAGUUCCA
rnacentral:lncRNA from 1 species